AUGAGCGGCUGCAUCCGGCGGUUCCUGAACCUGCGGCUGUUUGGACCUCUCCAAGAUGAGAUGGACUUUUUUCACUGGACGGCAGAAGAGGCGGACGCGCAUGGCAAGGUGGUGCCAACACUCACGCCCGUCAAUGCCUGUGUACCCAAGAGGAGAAGGGUCUGCAGCACUGACUUGGCGACGGCGGAGGCGGCCGCGCCCAAGAUCGACCCUCCGAAAAGCGAGCUGCUCGUGAGGCCACCGGAAGUCUCCUACUCCAUACGGUCUCCUCGUUGUCUUCACUUCUUGCCCACUGCCUUGGAGAGCAAGGUCAUCUUGGCCGACCAGGCGAACCGCAUGUUACGCUUCUACACCAUCGACGGCUGCAGCUACAUCGAUACAAUGCCAAGCCUCCACAGGUACAAGCACUCGCCGUUGGCCAUCUCCGUCCCUCCGACGGACUUACACCUCCUUGACGGUGAAGACACCGGCGACCUCUACAUCAUCGAUAGCGUCCUCCAUCCGGACAAGGCAGGGGUACGCCCGCAGUUCGAGGCCCUGGUGUGGAGGGGGAUCACCACGUCCCUCGUGUCUCACAGGUUCUGGCACUGCGACAUCCUCCCGCUGCCCCCGUGGAUCACCCACCACAGGAAUGCCUUCGUCUACGGUCACGCCCUCGUUGGCGACACCAUCUGCUUCUCCAUCUGUGGCUCAGAGGGCAACGGCACCUACUGCUUCCACAUGACGACUCGUGAGUGGAGCAAAGCCGGCGACUGGCUCAUGCCGUUCGAUGGCAAGGCGAAUUACAUCCCGGAGCUUGGACUCUGGUUCGGCGUCUCAGAAAACCUCCCCUGUGUGGCUGACCUCUCUGGCGUGGUCAGAGGGGAGGAGCCGCCGCCGAAGAAGAUGCGGAUCUGGGCGCAUGAUGACCUGCCAGAAGAGUGGCAGCCGACCCAAUUGUUCAACCCCCGGGUCAUCAGCCUCGGUUCUGGCAGGUUCAUCGUCGUGGACUUCUUGGAUACCAUGGAAUUCGACAAGGACUGCAAUGAGAUGGUUACGGGCAAGCAAUUCGCCCUCUUCACCGGUAUGGAAGCAGCGUACAACGUCAAAGGCAAAAGUGAUGAUGGCAAAAACAACAGCAGCAACAACAACAAUGGCAUCAAGGCAAAGGGCUGGUGCGUGGCCUCCGUAUGA
rnacentral:rRNA from 1 species